UACGAAGGGGCUAGCGUUGCUCGGAAUUACUGGGCGUAAAGCGCACGUAGGCGGGCUAUUAAGUCGGGGGUGAAAUCCUGGAGCUCAACUCCAGAACUGCCUUCGAAACUGAUAGUCUUGAGUUCGGGAGAGGUGAGUGGAACUGCGAGUGUAGAGGUGAAAUUCGUAGAUAUUCGCAAGAACACCAGUGGCGAAGGCGGCUCACUGGCCCGAUACUGACGCUGAGGUGCGAAAGCGUGGGGAGCAAACAGG
rnacentral:rRNA from 1 species